GCCCGGUGCGCAGGCCGGGGUUACUUCCCACUGCUAAUGGGGUGGUCGCGGGUUCGAAUCCCGCCGAGGGCC
rnacentral:tRNA from 2 species